rnacentral:lncRNA from 1 species
UUUAUGCUUCCUGACCAGCCACUAUGAGAAGAGUUUUGUCUCAUGCUCCCGUGACUAUGAGCUACAUCCUGCCUUUUUUACCACAAGGGACGGGACUCUCUCCGAAACCAUGAGCCAACAUAAAACUUGUCUCUGGUAAGAUGUGUCUGUCAGAUAGAUAUCAGGGUCUCAGGGACAUGAAAGCAGCCAAAGUAAGGGCUUUAGCUUCUGAUGUUUCUCCCCAGUCCUACAUGUGGAACCCAGGGAAAUCCAUGCACGCUAAGCAAUGGUUCUACUGCUCCACCAUGUUCUCAAUCCCCAGAUUUUAUCUUUUUAGUCAAAGAAGUCACAGGUGUGGGGACAAAUGAUUGCACUGCCAGCACUGCCAAAGCCGUAACUCAGAAGAGCUGUCUGAAGAUGGUGAGAUGAAGUCAUUUUAGGUCCUUUCUGUGGUGGUCCAAAAGCUUCUGAGAGACACGAUAGGGGAGGAGCGGCAGGAAGAUUCUUCCUGAGCUUGGUUGGGAGCCCAGCUUUCUGAUCCAAUGCCCUUUUUAUUUUAUUUUUUUUUUUGGUGGAGAGGUCAGUGGGGAAAGGGAUUCGAAAGAAGACUAAUUUGGAAUUGUCCUUUCCAAAUGGCAAGAAAAACAUCACAUUUCUCGCCUCAUCCUGAUGUUAUGUAGCAGGAGUAGAUCCUGGGAGACGAAGACACCACAUAAAAAUUCUGUCUGUUCUUCCCGUGCUCAUUUUUCCAGUUGGUUUUCACAGGAAUGCUGAAAAUGCUAACCACUCCUGGGAUUCCCUGAUGUCUACUUCAGUGCUCGUGGUGUCUGAGUCUUCACACAUCCUGAAGAGCUGGAAGCAAUGGAGACAGAGGUAGGAAGCCAAACUGGGAGGGAGAUACGAAAGAGCGGAGUCCACAAACGUGGCUAUAAGGAACUCUUCUGAGGGAUGGUCUUCUUCAUCUAUCAGAAGAGCUGGAGGUGAAGAAUCCAAGUUUCUCCAGAAACCACAGCUGGCCCUUCUUACCAUCUUCUUUUUGGUUGUUAAUCACCCCUCAUCUCUUAGUCAAUAUGAGAUGUCACUUCAAGGAGGGACAGGAUCAUAGAGGAGGCAUUUCUGGAACCUCUGCCACCAAGAAGGAAAUCAGCACUCAUCUCAAGGAAGUGAGUGUCGACGCUGAAGGAAACUCAGCAAGGCUGGUCCAGUGCCUUCUCUGGAAAGGUGGCAGGAGCCUGAGGGAAUGUACUCAUGGGCUCUGAGCUGAGAUCAUCAGGGGUUCUGGGUACCUUGGUAUGUGGUGACGAAGCCUCUGAGGAGACCAUAUCACCAUCCAAGUCCGGUGCAGCUGGCCCACUCACUUACACAUAACUUGGCUCCUACUGGGAAGUCACCAGACCACUUCCUUAUCCCGGGAAAGACUGUACACCUGACCACAGCCUUGGGCUCACAGGGAAAUGUCCUCACUUCUGAGUCUGCAAUCCACAGGCAUGCAGCAUGGCCUAUUUCCAACUUCGCUCCAUGC